AGAAACUUGAAAACUACUGUUGGAUCGAGAAAUGGACGUCCGAGAUUCGUCCACAUCAUCAUGAGUUAAAAUUUAACUCAUGAGUGAAUCCGCGAGUUAAAUUUUAACUCAUGGUGAUGUGGACGAAUCUUAGACAUCCAUUUCUCGAUCCAACGGUAGUUUCCAUGUUUCC
rnacentral:pre_miRNA from 1 species